CUUUGUCCUAUAAGAAAUCUUUGCUUAUCCCCAGGUAACAAAGAUAUUCUGUUUCUUCUGAAAGCUUUAUAGUUUGAUUUUUUACAUUUUGAUCAAUGUACCAGCUCAAAUUAUGAGGUGAGGCAGUUCAUUUUUUUCCUAUACAGAUAUCCAGGUGUUCCAGUACUAUGUGUUGAAAAGCCUUUCCUUUCUCCACUGGAUUGCUUUGCUGCCUUUGUCAAAAAUCAAUUCACUCUGUAAAUCAUGAUGCUUCAGAUGACUAUGGAGUCAAGAGCUCCACAUAUUUGUACCUGUCUAGACCCAGUACAGAGCCUGGUGG